CUCCGUAAGCUCACAACCCUCUCGCGAAAGAAAACAUGCCAAAAAAACCCCAUCCUUUGUUGCCCCCUCCCAUCGAUCCCAUCUACUCCCGCCGACGCCGUCCGAGGGGGAGACAAUGCCGCCGCCACCUCUGCAAGGCAGGGCGGUUUGAUUCCCGCCCCUGCAGCCUCUGCAAGGAAGGGCGGUACUGCACUUCGUCGGUACCGAAGGGGCACCCUGCCGCGGCUGGGGACUCGCCGCCACUCUCCUAUCUCUCACCGCGCACCUUCCCCGGCCAAGGAGCGCCCCAACCUUGCCAUGUCACUCGUGUGGCUCCCAUGGCGCCGCCCGCAUAGCUCCUUGCGCCGCCGGUAAUGACGCCCGCCUCCACCACAACUCCUCUGCCUGCGCCCCCAUGUGUCUGAGAUCCAGGUACUCAUCAUUGUCGAUCCCCAGUGGGAGAGGCCCCCGCCUUCCUCUCCUCCUGCGUGGUGGCCGAUGGCCGCAGUUGACGGCGCUCCUGCGAGCGGGAGACACGAGUGCGGCGCAGGCAGUGACCAAGAGUGAUGAGGCAGCCCCCGGCCGCCUGGGGGCGGUUCUUUCACGUGCUGUAGACCAUGCCAUUCUGCUAUGACGAGGAUGUGCUCCGAUUACGUGGUUAAUACUAUCACAAUGCAAUAACUGGGGAGAUUACAAAGGGAAGGGACAAUAUGUAAGAUGGGGCAAGGAGGCUGGCUUCUCAUGACGACUUCAUAUAUGAUGCAACACUUAAGAGCUACUACAAAGCUUUUUUUUAGGAAGCUACUACAAAACUUUUUUUUUCAGAAGCUACUACAAAGCUUUUGUUCAGCAAAUACCAUGACAAGAGCUUGAAGAUUUCAAAGAUACAAAGGGUUAGCAGAAAGAGGAUACACUGAUUUCAUCUGCUGCACUUAAGAGUCGAGUCUCUCCGUAACAGAUGGUCAGAUUUUGAAGGCUCUGUACUCGAAAUCAUAAGGGAAUUUCUUGUUGUUGCAUCCAGGUGCUGGAAUUCCUCGUAGUGGAGUGAAAACAAUUGUCUCUACGCAUGCAACAGCAAGGUGGGAAGUUGUAAUUAUUGUAGGACUUAUUUUCUGAAAGUUGAAGGGAGGUACUACGCAAGUUACAGGCUUUCAAUUCAGCAUGAAACCAAGACACGUGAUAUAUUGGUAAAACAGUUAGGGUGUGAUGAUUCAUGAACAAAAGAUUCAGAAAAUUUGUUGAAUCAUUUAAGGAGCAAGAACAACAAGUAUGUGCUGAAAAAUUAUUUCCCAUGGUUUCUUCACUCUUGGUUAAGGGAUUCUGGCACAUUCCCAAAGUAGCAACUUGUCAAGGGUUCGGGUCGGAACAAAAUUCAAUAUAUGCUGAUGUAUGGAAGAAAAGCAUAUGAAGUUACAGAAGUGGAUUAUUCUCUAUCGUGAACAAAACAUUAUUUGCUUCCCCAACUAUGAUUAAAUCAUCGGUGCAUGGAUUCACUUAACUCACUUGGAUUAUCUGUAGUUGACCCUCCAUUUAGCCAUAGAAAACUUGUUAAUUAUAAAAUAUUUACUUCCUUUUAAAGCAAUUAAUGUAUAGUUGUUCUUACUAUAUUAUCCUCUAUUUUUCUCAGUAUUUCAGAGAGUGUCAUGUGAGUUCAACAUUACUUGUCUAGAGGUAAUUGUCAAAAUUAGCCUCCCGAGUUUGCUUGUGUCGCUCAUGGUAUUUGUUGAAGUAUAAAAGGUGUUGAUUUUACUGAUUACAAUACGAAAACUAACAAAAUGAUGAUUCAGUUGAAGUUUUUGUGUCCUAUGGAAUUAAUUGUCUAUAUCUCUGUAUAAUUUUAUACUAUAAAUUUUGGCACUCCAAUUUAAAAAGUGAAGCACUUCACAAUUAUGUGUGAUGUUUCAAGCAGAAUUGAGAUUAGCGAAUAUUUUUCUGCAAAAGAAAAGCAUGCAUGACUUGGAAACUAUGAGAUUUCUUAUCAGAAUUACUGCCAGAUAUACGGAUAUUUUUCCUAAAGAGCAAAACCAUAGUUGAUUUACUGAAUUCAAAUAACGGCAUGCAAGUGUGGUUCUAUAUCAAAUAGCUUUUGCAUUUGACAAAAGCAGAAUAAAUGGGAUUCUUACCAUACAAAAAGGUUAAAGCCAGAAUAAAUGAAAAUGUUGGUAUUCAAAACUUUGUAUUCAAGUCCAACUUAGGGGUUCAUAGACUUGCAAAAAAAAAUAUUCUUGAUUGAAGUUGGCUCCAUGAAUUUACAGGCUAAUAUGCAAUCUUGAGCUAUUAUUGUUCUGUAUAUUCUGAGGUGUAGCACCCACUCAUCCUUGUUACAAGGGAUGUAUCUAGAUGGUAAUUUCAUAGAUGGUUUGGUAGACUAUGAAAUUUUUCACAAUCUUGGCACGUAUUUGUAUUUAAGCCUAUAUUGACCAAAUGUGUGAUGUGAUAAGAAAAAUACAGCAUGUAAGGGUGUGGAUGAAUUCAAACAUUUUUACUCCCUCCAUCGCUGUUUAUAAGUCUUGCACGUGUAUCUAGAUCAUCAUUUUAACUUAUAUAGAAUAAAUUGUUUAACAUAAAAAUUAUAUCAUUAGAAAAUAAAAUAUCUAAAGUUUCUAAUGAUAUACUUUUUGUAAUGUAUGCCUCUUAUUAAGUUGGUCAUAUUAAUGACCUAGGUACACGUGUAAGACGUGUAAACUCAGAUGGAGGGAGUACUAGGGAUAAGAAUGAGUGGCUCCAUUAGUACUAGGGAUAAGGUUAGUAAAAAAGAAAGAAACAUUAGUGGUGUGUGAUCCAACAUGAAACGACACGCGGCGUGACCGGUCGGCCGAGUUGAAUCGUUUUGCAUUCAACUACUGGUUGCUUGGUUCCAGCAACAAUUUUUGAGUGUCAAUAACAUAUUAUUGUGUUUGAUAGUAUGAUGUGUGUUAGCUGAUUGUAAAAAAAUGUGUGUUAGUUAAGAUGUGCAUUGUUCUCGGUUAUUUUAGUGCUUGUUAUUUUGUUUUUUCAGAAGCCUGUGGCAACGCAUAGGCGUUCUACUAGUAGUGUGAAUUUGCCAGUACAUUCAAUGUACUGACCCUUUGUGGUUGCAACGUCUCAUGUUGCAGGAUCUUACGACAAGUAAGUGAUACGUUAGGGUUACGAUUCCUAUACUCAACUUUGUCGUUGGUGUUGAUGGGAAUCCACAACCUUGUUACUUCCGCUAUUUGGAUUGAAGUAAUAGUAUUUACGUUACUUUAUACAUGUGAUUUACACUACUGGAAUCAGGAUCUUUGUCGUCAGCCAGCUCUUUGCCGUCUGCUAGCUGACGGCAAAGAAGGUCUUUGCCAUCAGCUUACAGAAAGCUGACGGCAAAAAAAAAAGCGGACGACAAAGGGAGUGUUUGCCAUCAGCCUGCUCUUUGCCGUCAGCUAGCUAAGGUGUAGAAUCUUUGUCGUCUCCUGGCGGACGGUAAAGAGGAUGGGUGGCCCACUAACGAGAACUAUCUAACGGAUAUUAUUUUUGCCGUCUGCUAGCAGACGGCAAAGAGUCCGAAAGCGGACGACAAAGAAAAUAAUCUAACUUGUCUAACAGCCGCUGUCGGUGUCAAAACCGGCGAAUCUCGGGUAGGGGGUCCCGAACUGUGCGUCUAGACGGAUGGUAACAGGAGACAAGGGACACGAUGUUUUUACCCAGGUUCGGGCCCUCUCGGUGGAGGUAAAACCCUACUUCUGCUUCAUUGAUAUUGAUGAUAUGGGUAGUACAAGAGUAGAUCUACCACGAGAUCAA